GUGUCUUCUCAAACAAAGGAAGACAUCAGUGCAAAUAAAUCUUCAGCUCUUUCAUUAGUCAAGUUGACAGGGAGUGGUUUGCUCUCUUUACGUUCCCCCAUGAGGAUUCAGCCGACACCAUUCAAAUUGUGUCUGAUAUUAUUGAUUCCCUGGGAUCUGCAGAUUCGAGUUCCCCAGAGUGGUGUCAUCGAAUUUUUUCCUAUCCAAGCUACAUGCAGUUUGAAUGAGCCAGACCUAAGGACUGUUGUUCAAAAGCUUGUUCUUAAGUUUGUGAAGGAUAAGCAAAGUACACUUGCAUCACCAAUAAAGUUUGCAGUUGGAUAUAAUAGAAGAGGUCUUGAAGAGAUGGAGCUGAAGAAUUCAAAGAUAAACCUGAUGGUUCUGAUCUAUUACCUUUGUUGGACCGCCGCAAAUGCUUUGAAGUCGUAGCUGCAGCAGUUAAGGAUGCUAUAUCAGAUUCAGUUGUAGAUCUUAAAAACCCUGAGAUUUCUGUUCUGGUGGAGCUCCUACCCCUUGCAGCCAUUCCAAGUGGGUCACUGGUGGCCGCUGUAUCAGUGCUUCCGCCAAAAAUGGUCACUACAAAGCCACGGCUGUGUGUCAAGGCGUUGGCUCCUCAGGCUAAGUCAAAGAAUAAGUAAGUUGGUGGACUAUAGCAGCCUCUCACAGCUGUGAAAUCUUCAAAUGGAAGAUGCUCGUGAUUCUGGCCUU